GCCAGUGUGGUAUAAUGGUUUGAGCAUUGGACUACGAUUCUGGAGAGCAGGGUUUGAAUCCCCGCUCGGCCA
rnacentral:tRNA from 1 species